CCUACGGGCGGCAGCAGUGGGGAAUAUUGCACAAUGGGGGAAAGCCUGAUGCAGCGACGCCGCGUGAGGGAUGAAGGUCUUCGGGAUGUAAAGCUCUAUCAGCAGGGAAGAAAAUGACGGGACCUGACUAAGAAGCCCCGGCUAACUCCGGGCCAGCAGCCGCGGUAAUACGCCGGGGGCGAGCGUGAUGCGGAUUUACUGGGUGUAAAGGGAGCGUAGACGGCAGUGCAAGCCAGAUGUGAAAGCCCGGGGCUCAACCCCGGGACUGCCUUUGGAACUGUUCUUCUAGAGUGUCGGAGAGGCAGGCGGAAUUCCUGGUGUAGCGGUGAAAUGCGUAGAUAUCAGGAGGAACACCAGUGGCGAAGGCGGCCUGCUGGACCAUAACUGACGUUGAGGCUCGAAAGCGUGGGUAGCAAACAGGAUUAGAUACCCGUGUAGUC
rnacentral:rRNA from 1 species